rnacentral:rRNA from 1 species
AACGAACGCUGGCGGCAUGCCUAACACAUGCAAGUCGAACGAGACCUUCGGGGCUAGUGGCGCAGGGGUGCUUAACGCGUGGUGACCUGCCCUUAGGUUCGGAAUAACUCAGAGAAAUUUGAGCUAAUACCGGAUGAUGUCUUCGGACCAAAGAUUUAUCGCCGUUUGAUGGGGCCGCGUUGGAUUAGCUGGUUGGUGGGGUAAAGGCCUACCAAGGCGAAGAUCCAUAGCUGGUCUGAGAGGAUGAUCAGCAACACUGGGACUGAGACACGGCCCAGACUCCUGCGGGAGGCAGCAGUGGGGAAUAUUGGACAAUGGGCGAAAGCCUGAUCCAGCAAUGCCGUGUGAGUGAUGAAGGCGUUAGGGUUGUAAAGCUCUUUUACCCGAGAUGAUAAUGACAGUAUCGUGAGAAUAAGCUCCGGCUAACUCCGUG